UACAUAUUCCCUCCGUUCGAAAUUACUUAUCAUAGAAAUGGAUGUAUCUAGAUGUAUUUUAGUUCUAGAUACAUCCAUAUCCGAGACAAAUAAUUCCGAACGGAGGGAGUACAUG
rnacentral:pre_miRNA from 1 species